rfam:Myotis lucifugus cont2.17533, whole genome shotgun sequence.
UACUGAAUCGAACAAACCAGUAUAAAAAGACAUUUAAACCUUGUGCUAUUAAUUAAACUUUGGAACAUUGAAACAGGCUAGGAUAAAUGAAUGGGUAGAAAAAUCUGACUCUAUUCACUUAUCUUCCCAGCCUCAAAAA